AAAAUAUAAUAAUCCUAAAAGAAUACCAAAAGAAACAGGAUGUAAUAUUAAACAAUCACGAAUAAAUAGUACGAAAAAUAAUAAAAUGAUUGGAAGAAUCAAACGAAACUAAUAAAUUUCAUAACAAGAAAGGAUAGUGUAAAGAUAAUUAAAAUAAAAAAUUACUUUAAACAGAUUAACUAAAAAUAAAAGUAAUAGUCAUAGAAACAAGAAAACCAAAUGUAAAAUAAGAC
rnacentral:lncRNA from 1 species